UACGUAGGGGCAAGCGUUGUCCGGAAUCAUUGGGCGUAAAGCGCGUGUAGGCGGUCCGGUAAGUCCGCUGUAAAAGUCGGGGGCUCAACCCUCGGAUGCCGGUGGAUACUGUCGGGCUUGAGUACGGAAGAGGCGAGUGGAAUUCCUGGUGUAGCGGUGAAAUGCGCAGAGUAUCAGGAGGAACACCAAUUGCGAAGGCAGCUCGCUGGGACGUUAACUGACGCU
rnacentral:rRNA from 1 species